rnacentral:rRNA from 1 species
GGUUAAGUUAGAAAGGGCGCACGGUGGAUGCCUUGGCACUAGGAGCCGAAGAAGGACGGGACUAACACCGAUAUGCUUUGGGGAGCUGUACGUAAGCGUUGAUCCAGAGAUUUCCGAAUGGGGGAACCCACUAUCUUUAGUCGGAUAGUAUCCUUACGUGAAUACAUAGCGUGAGGAAGGCAGACCCAGGGAACUGAAACAUCUAAGUACCUGGAGGAAGAGAAAGAAAAAUCGAUUUCCUGAGUAGCGGCGAGCGAAACGGAAAGAGCCCAAACCAAGAAGCUUGCUUCUUGGGGUUGUAGGACACUCUAUACGGAGUUACAAAAGAAAGUUAUAAAUGAAGCGGUCUGGAAAGGCCCGCCAAAGACGGUAACAGCCCGGUAGUUGAAAUAGCUUUCCCUCCAGAGUGGAUCCUGAGUACGGCGGAACACGUGAAAUUCCGUCGGAAUCCGGGAGGACCAUCUCCCAAGGCUAAAUACUCCCUAGUGACCGAUAGUGAACCAGUACCGUGAGGGAAAGGUGAAAAGCACCCCGGAAGGGGAGUGAAACAGUUCCUGAAACCGUGUGCCUACAAGUAGUUAGAGCCCGUUAAUGGGUGAUAGCGUGCCUUUUGUAGAAUGAACCGGCGAGUUACGAUUUGUUGCAAGGUUAAGCGGAAAAAGCGGAGCCGUAGCGAAAGCGAGUCUGAAUAGGGCGCAUAAGUAACAGGUCGUAGACCCGAAACCAGGUGAUCUACCCAUGUCCAGGAUGAAGGUAAGGUAAUACUUACUGGAGGUCCGAACCCACGCACGUUGAAAAGUGCGGGGAUGAGGUGUGGGUAGCGGAGAAAUUCCAAUCGAACUUGGAGAUAGCUGGUUCUCUCCGAAAUAGCUUUAGGGCUAGCCUCGAGGUAAAGAGUCAUGGAGGUAGAGCACUGUUUGGACUAGGGGCCCUUCUCGGGUUACCGAAUUCAGAUAAACUCCGAAUGCCAUGUACUUAUACUCGGGAGUCAGACUGCGAGUGAUAAGAUCCGUAGUCGAAAGGGAAACAGCCCAGACCACCAGUUAAGGUCCCCAAAUAUAUGUUAAGUGGAAAAGGAUGUGGGGUUGCUUAGACAACCAGGAUGUUGGCUUAGAAGCAGCCACCAUUGAAAGAGUGCGUAAUAGCUCACUGGUCGAGUGACCCCGCGCCGAAAAUGUACCGGGGCUAAACAUAUUACCGAAACUGUGGAUGAACCUCUUUAGAGGUUCGUGGUAGGAGAGCGUUCUAAGGGCGGUGAAGUCAGACCGGAAGGACUGGUGGAGCGCUUAGAAGUGAGAAUGCCGGUAUGAGUAGCGAAAGAAGGGUGAGAAUCCCUUCCACCGAAUAUCUAAGGUUUCCUGAGGAAGGCUCGUCCGCUCAGGGUUAGUCGGGACCUAAGCCGAGGCCGAUAGGCGUAGGCGAUGGACAACAGGUAGAGAUUCCUGUACCAGUGCUAAUUGUUUAACCGAUGGGGUGACACAGAAGGAUAGGGAAUCGCACGAAUGGAAAUGUGCGUCCAAGCAGUGAGUGUGAGAAGUAGGCAAAUCCGCUUCUCGCGAAGCAUGAGCUGUGAUGGGGAAGGAAAUUAAGUACGGAAGUUCCUGAUUUCACGCUGUCAAGAAAAGCCUCUAGGAAGAGUAGUACUGCCCGUACCGCAAACCGACACAGGUAGAUGAGGAGAGAAUCCUAAGGUGAGCGAGAGAACUCUCGUUAAGGAACUCGGCAAAAUGACCCCGUAACUUCGGGAGAAGGGGUGCUCUAUUAGGGUGCAAGCCCGAGAGAGCCGCAGUGAAUAGGCCCAGGCGACUGUUUAGCAAAAACACAGGUCUCUGCAAAACCGUAAGGUGACGUAUAGGGGCUGACGCCUGCCCGGUGCUGGAAGGUUAAGAGGAGUGCUUAGCUUCGGCGAAGGUACGAAUUGAAGCCCCAGUAAACGGCGGCCGUAACUAUAACGGUCCUAAGGUAGCGAAAUUCCUUGUCGGGUAAGUUCCGACCCGCACGAAAGGCGCAACGAUCUGGGCACUGUCUCAACGAGAGACUCGGUGAAAUUAUAGUACCUGUGAAGAUGCAGGUUACCCGCGACAGGACGGAAAGACCCCGUGGAGCUUUACUGCAACCUGAUAUGGAAUGUUUGUACCGCUUGUACAGGAUAGGUAGGAGCCGAAGAGACGUGUGCGCUAGCAUACGAGGAGGCAAUGGUGGGAUACUACCCUGGCUGUAUGACCAUUCUAACCCGCCACGCUUAGCGCGUGGGGAGACAGUGUCAGGUGGGCAGUUUGACUGGGGCGG